GACUCUUCUUCUCGCAUCAGGAAUUUGUAACAUUCCAUAUUUUUACCAAUGGGUAUAUCUGGAGAACCAAAUGUCACCACGGAACAGGGCAAUUUCAAGUUUUUGAAAAUGCCAGCGGUUUAUGCCUCCGCACAUUUCAUCGGAGCUUUCUUGUCGCUGCGUUUUGCCAUUGGAGCUUCAUCCUAGGACUGGAUUGGCCGCUAAUGGUCCCAGCUGUGCGAUUUCGUUAGCUCGCGGAGACCGCAGUUGUCAUUGAUCCAUUGAAGGAGCCUACAUACAGUAACGUUAGCCUAAAGGAAAAAAACGGUGAGAUGAUGUGCGAGGUGAUGCCCACCAUCAGCGAGGACACGGCGCUGAGCCAGCGGGGCUCCCAGAGCAGUACCUCGGACCCAGACUCCCACUUUGAGCAGCUGAUGGUCAACAUGCUGGAUGAGAGAGACCGCCUGUUGGACACUCUGAGGGAGACCCAGGAGAGCCUGGGGAUGUCCCAGCAGCACCUGGAGGACGUUAUCUACGACCGGGACUCACUGCAGCGCCAGCUCAGCUCCGCCCUGCCACAGGAGUUUGCAGCCCUGACCAAGGAGCUGAACGUGUGCAGAGAGAACCUUCUGGAGAAGGAGGAGGAGAUCUCUGAGCUCAAGGCCGAGAGGAACAACACCAGGUUGCUUCUGGAGCAUCUGGAGUGCCUGGUGUCCAGGCAUGAGCGGUCACUACGUAUGACUGUGGUCAAGCGGCAGGCCCAGUCCCCCUCAGGCGUGUCCAGUGAGGUGGAGGUCCUCAAAGCGCUCAAGUCCCUGUUCGAGCAUCACAAAGCUCUAGACGAGAAGGUGAGGGAGAGACUGCGGGUGUCGCUAGAGAGGGUCUCUGCAUUGGAGGAGGAGCUAACAUCAGCCAACCAGGAGAUUGUGGCCUUACGGGAGCAGAAUGCCCACAUCCAGAGGAAGGUGGCGUCAGGGGACGGGUCAGAGGACAUGCUGGAGGGCACUGAUGCCAGCCAGAAGGUACAUAGCAAGCGCCUGUCCAACGGCUCCAUGGAGUCGGCCCAUGAGGCCAGCCAGGUGGUGGAGCUGCAGGACCUGCUGGAGAAGCAGAACUAUGAGCUGGCCCAGAUGAAGGAGCGCAUGUCCUCCCUGUCGUCCCGCGUCUCCGAGGUGGAGCAGGAGCUGGACACCGCGCGCAAGGACCUCAUUAAGACAGAGGAGAUGAGUACCAAGUACCAGAGGGACAUCAAAGAGGUGAGGAGAGAGGCUAUGUGUCAGAAGGAGGACAUGGAAGAGAGGAUCGUCACUCUGGAGAAGCGGUACCUCAGCGCCCAGAGAGAGUCCACCUCCCUGCACGACAUCAGUGACAAACUGGAGAAUGAGCUGGCCAAUAAGGAAGCCUUCCUCAGACAGAUGGAGGAUAAGAACAGGCAGCUGCUGGAGCGUUUGGAGCUAGCAGAGCAGAAGCUGCAGCAGACCAUGAGAAAGGCUGAGACCCUGCCAGAGGUAGAGGCUGAACUGGCCCAGAGGAUAGCAGCACUCACCAAGGCAGAGGAGCGUCACGGCAGUAUCGAGGAACGCAUGAGGCACCUGGAGGGCCAGCUGGAGGAGAAGCACCAGGAGUUGCUCAGAGCUCGGCAGAGAGAAAAGAUGAACGAGGAACACAACAAGCGCCUGUCGGACACGGUGGACAGACUUCUCACAGAGUCGAACGAACGUCUUCAACUCCACCUGAAAGAGAGGAUGGCUGCUCUGGAAGAGAAGAACGUUUUAAUACAAGACUCGGAAGGCUACAGAAAACAGUACGAGGAUUCAAUCCAUGAAAAAACUCAUCUGGCAGAUGAGAUAGACAAGCUGAGAUCAGAGUUGGACCAGUUCCGACUGAGAACAGGCUCACUCACAGAACCCACUCUGUCACGGUAUGGGUCUCACCUGGACACGUCGGGGGAGCUCCGAUUCUCCCUUGGCUCCCUGGCUGAGACCCAGUCAGACCACUACCGGUCAGCCAAGGUCAUCCGCAGGCCCAGGAGAGGACGCAUGGGUCUCCGCAGGGACGAGAGCAAGGCUAAGUCACUGGGGGAGCACGAGUGGCGCUCUCAGCAGCUAGGCAUCCUGGGUAGCCACCCCUUUGAGAGUGAGAUGUCUGACAUGUCGGACAUUGAUGACGAUGACCGGGAGACCAUGUUCAGCUCCAUGGACCUGCUGUCCCCCGGCGGUCACUCAGACGCCCAGACCCUAGCCAUGAUGCUGCAGGAGCAGCUGGACGCCAUUAACAAAGAGAUACGACUGAUCCAGGAGGAGAAGGAGUCGACAGAGCUACGGGCGGAGGAGAUAGAGAACCGCGUGGCCAGCGUCAGCCUGGAGGGUCUCAACCUGGCCCGUAUGCACCACCCCGGAGCCUCCAUCACCGCCUCGGCCACCGCCUCCUCCCUGGCCUCUUCCUCCCCGCCCAGCGGACACUCCACCCCCAAGCUGGACCACCGCAGCACCACAGACAUGGAGCGCAUGGGUAUCAUGACACUGCCCAGUGAUCUGAGGAAACACAGGAGAAAGAUUGCGGCCACCGACGAUGACGGCCAGGACAAGGCUACCAUCAAGUGUGAGACGUCCCCUCCUCCCACGCCCCGGACCGUACGCAUGACCCGCACACUGCCAGCCUCCUCACACAAUGAGGCCCGAGGCAUUGCUGCCAACCUGGAGGCAGAGGCCAGUGCUCUGAGCAGCGUAGCCAGCAGUCAGGACUCCAUCAACAAGCAGCCCAAGAAGAAAGGCAUCAAGUCCUCCAUCGGACGCCUGUUUGGCAAGAAGGAGAAGACCAGACUGGCACAGCUGCAUGCCCACAGGGAGGCCAUCGGGCAGAGCCAAGGAGUGUCUGAUCCAGACCUGGGUCAGGACAUGGCUGUGGGGAAGCUGGGGACUCAGGCUGAGAAAGACCGCCGGCUGAAAAAGAAAAGCGGGCACGAGUUGUUGGAAGAGGCGAGGAGGAAAGGCUUACCUUUCGCCCAAUGGGACGGCCCCACAGUGGUGGCCUGGCUGGAGCUGUGGCUGGGGAUGCCCGCCUGGUACGUGGCGGCGUGUCGUGCCAACGUUAAGAGCGGUGCCAUCAUGUCUGCCCUGUCGGACACAGAGAUCCAGAGGGAGAUUGGCAUCAGUAACCCCCUGCACCGCCUCAAACUACGACUGGCCAUCCAGGAGAUGGUGUCCCUCACCAGUCCAUCUGCCCCGCCAACCUCCAGAACCCCGUCAGGCAAUGUAUGGGUGACCCACGAGGAAAUGGAGACCCUCGCAGCACCCUCCUCCAAAACGAGGUCCGGGGAGUCCGAGGAGGGGAGCUGGGCGCAGACUCUAGCGUAUGGUGACAUGAACCAUGAGUGGAUAGGGAACGAGUGGUUGCCCAGUCUAGGACUACCUCAGUACCGCAGCUACUUCAUGGAGUGCCUGGUGGACGCCCGCAUGCUGGACCACCUCACCAAGAAGGACCUCCGGGUGCAUCUCAAAAUGGUGGACAGCUUUCACAGGACGAGUUUGCAGUAUGGUAUCAUGGGUCUGAAGAAGCUCAACUAUGACAGGAAAGAGCUGGAGAGACGCAGAGAGCACAGCCAGCAUGAAAUGAGAGACGUGCUGGUGUGGAGCAACGAGCGGGUGAUUCGCUGGGUCCAGAGCAUCGGCCUAAAGGACUAUGCCAACAUCCUGCUGGAGAGCGGCGUGCACGGGGCCCUGGUCGCCCUCGACGACAACUUUGACCACACCAGCCUGGCGCUGCUCAUCCAGAUCCCCAACCAAAGCACUCAGGCACGUCAGAUUCUGGAGAGGGAAUAUAAUAACCUGCUAGCCCUGGGCACUGAGAGACGACUGGACGAGUAUGAAGAUAAUGACCUCCGGGGGCCAUCGUGGAGGAGGCAGUUCCCCCCGCGGGACGUCCAUGGGAUCAGUAUGAUGCCCGGCUCGGCAGAGACCCUCCCCGCUGGCUUCCGUGUCACCACCGGCUCACACUCCCGUAGGCUACCCCCCGAAGUGGGCAAUGGGAGCUGAUCCUGUGUCAGUUGUUAUGGGCAUAAAUUGGCCCCUUAGCAGUGCAGCGUCUGGACAGCUCUACAGUGAGGACCUACUCCUGCUGAGGGAGGAGAAGAGAGACUGUAAGCUGUCCAGAUACUGUAUGUAGAGAAGGUCUUACUGUACCUUGGAGCUGCUGGACGGGUCCUCCUGCCUGGAACAAACAUUCUGACGAGACGUACUGCCAAGAAGCACCCCCCUAUCUACCCUCCCACCCAACCUACCCCCGAAAAAGAGAGAGAGGGGGGGGGGGGGGGUGCCUCCUGGGUGCCUCCUGCCAAUCCGCCCCCCCUCUGCACUUAGGAGUCAAGGCCCCCUGAAACCUGGGCAGCAGCUGCCGGUGCUACUUUCCUUCCGUCUGUCCUGUUGUCACCGUUUCUACCUUUUACAUGUACAAUAACUUGUUGAAGCAUAAUGUACUGUGUAUUUCUUCUACCAGGAGAUGUGUAGGUUAUCUGUAAAUGAAUAUAAAUAUGACUUUUUUUAAUAUAUAUAUAUAAAUAUAUACACAUCUAUAUUACAAAAAAAAAAAGAUAUUCAGAGUUUGUGCAAAUAACCCCCCCCCCCCCUUCCCAUUUCAAGUCCAUGACCUUGGUUAAACUAUGCUGCUCUUUGAAUAUUUCUCCAUCAUUCCCUGAGAGACCAUUUUGUACAUAGUUAUUUUCCAUUGUGCUGAUAAAUUUGUGUUUUCACCUUGGAGAGACUGUCCAUCUGGUCCGCACGUGACCUCCCCCCCAGCUGGUAAAGCCUGCCCUCUAGUGGCGUGUACAGCCCCAUGUAUCUGAGUCACCAGCCACAGCCCCUCACCUCACAAUCAUGACGGAGCCCAUCUCAUAGCAAAGCAUUCUGGGAGGACACAGAAACGCACUGUGACGUCUACUGAGGAUGUGACAAGCACUUUGAUACAACCACAGAAACUGUGGACUACAGCCACAGACUAAAAGAUAGACUCCACUCUGAAGCUACUCAGCAGGAACAUUCUUCAUCAGAUGAUCUCACUCACCUACAGUACCUUGACCAUAAAGCCAUACAUGAAUAAACUCAAGCUGGACUUUUUUUAUUUUGCCGUGGGGUCCGACUCAGCAUCGCUGAGAAAUAACUGAAAGACAGACUGCUUAACUCAGUGUGCGUAGAGUGUAUAUGAACAUGUCGAAGUGAGGUGAAUUUUAAUGACAAACCUGUUGCUUGCUGUGACAUUGGUGUAACUGUUAACUCUUUGUUUUUGUCUGAGUUGCCAGGGAAACCUAUUGUACAGCCCUCCUACCUGUCUUUGAGUUAUUUCUGCUGGAGUACUCGAUCAAGUUUGACCUUUUUGUUGACUUUUACAUCCUCGAUUUGCACAAACAAAGAAUCAUUUUAUUUUGUGUCCAUUUUUUAUUCAUUACUAAUUGUAUUUUGGUCAAAACUAAGUGGUGAUCAAACAAAUUUUCAUUGCCAAUAAAAAAAUACUGUCAGUGAAGUA